CACUUAAAAAAUACCAAAAUUUUCGAAACUUUUGAUACCGAACCGAUUUGGAAAUUUCGGCAUAGGAAUCAGUCUCAUAUUUUCAUUGGUUCGGUAAUCCUGAACCGAAUCGAAAUAAAAAAUAUAUAUAUUAUUUAAUUUUAAAUAUAUAUUUGGAAUUGUAACCGUCAUCAGAUUUGGUUAAGAUUUAAUCUCAACCGUUGAAUAUAAAUCAAACCCUCACACACUCAGUCACUCAGAACUCGGUCUCUCUCUCUCUCUGUCUCUCUCUCUCUCUCCCCGUCUCUCUACUGGACGUCUCGACCUCACCUCAGACCUCAGUACGUCACCACCCUCCACGCGAUUUCUCUCUCCGUCUUGGAAUCCGGCCACACCCACAUCACACAACCUCGACUGAUAUGGAGGUUGAUGAUGAAAUCAGAGUCCCUUGGACACACUGUUCUGGGGUGGCGAUCUGUUCCAACAGAUAACUCAGACUUGGGGAAUUCUGCUUUGCAGAAUGAACCUGUUAUUAAGCAAGUGUUCCUUACUGUGACCCCAACGUCGACGUCGAACGACAGGUUUUUUUUUUCCAUUCCCUGCGCUAGAAGCUUGAUCCUAUGGUUUUUGAGGUCUUUAGGGUGGUGAUUCGUUUGUUGCUAGUGAUUAGAUCAAUUCUGUAAUUGUGAUGUAAAAGUAAAAGUAAAGUUAGCAAACAUUUCUCAUGUGCAUAGGUGUGACAGAAUUGAGUUUUGCAGAAAUUCAAUUAGCAUGAGAAAUGGUUUGAGAUCCCGAUUUGUCCUGAAAUCCUGAAACUAUUUCGGGAUUCCCAAAUAUUUGGUUUGGGAUCGGUCUUGAAAUUGGGAUUCCUGAAAAUUUCGAUUUGGGAAUUGGAAUAUGGUUUUCGGUUAUGUAUCUCAUACCGAACCAGCCCUAAAAUUUUGUGUACAGCUCAAGUCAUAAUCUUGGGUGUCCCUGAUAAUGUAUCCCGCGCCCACUUGAUGAGAAAGGUAGAGAGAGAUAUGAAUGUGCAACUAGUUGCACCGACAUAA